rnacentral:rRNA from 1 species
CACGGGGGGAGCAAGCGUUGUUCGGAAUCACUGGGCGUAAAGGGCGUGUAGGCGGUCAAGUAAGUGGAAUGUGAAAGCCCCCGGCUUACCCGGGGAUCUGCAUCCCAAACUGCUUGGCUUGAGUACGGGAGAGGAUAGGGGAAUUCCUGGUGUAGCGGUGAAAUGCGUAGAUAUCAGGAGGAACACCGGUGGCGAAGGCGCCUAUCUGGCCCGAUACUGACGCUGAGGCGCGAAAGCUAGGGGAGCAAACAGG